rnacentral:rRNA from 1 species
CCUACGGGAGGCAGCAGUGAGGAAUAUUGGUCAAUGGACGAGAGUCUGAACCAGCCAAGUAGCGUGAAGGAUGACUGCCCUAUGGGUUGUAAACUUCUUUUAUAUGGGAAUAAAAUGUGCCACGUGUGGGAUUUUGUAUGUACCAUAUGAAUAAGGAUCGGCUAACUACGUGCCAGCAGCCGCGGUAAUACGGAGGAUCCGAGCGUUAUCCGGAUUUAUUGGGUUUAAAGGGAGCGUAGGUGGAUUGUUAAGUCAGUUGUGAAAGUUUGCGGCUCAACCGUAAAAUUGCAGUUGAAACUGGCAGGCUUGAGUACAGUAGAGGUGGGCGGAAUUCGUGGUGUAGCGGUGAAAUGCUUAGAUAUCACGAAGAACUCCGGUUGCGAAGGCAGCUCACUGGACUGCAACUGACACUGAGGCUCGAAAGUGUGGGUAUCAAACAGGAUUAGAUACCCGAGUAGUC